rnacentral:rRNA from 1 species
AUGAUUGAUAAGAAAUUAGCGGACAUGCUUGCACAUGGGAUUAUUGCGCCUAGCUCCAGCCCGUUUGCUUCGCCAGUGCUACUAGUUCUGAAGAAGGACUUGUCUUGGCGUUUCUGUGUGGACUACCGCCAACUCAGUGCCAUAACAGUCAAGAAACAUUUUCCCUUGCAGGUUAUCGACGAGCUUCUGGAUGAACUUGCGGGGUCCAGGUGGUUCACUAGCUUGGAUCUCCGGGCUGGAUACCAUCAAAUACGUAUGAAGCCCGAGGAUGAGCACAAGACCGCUUUCAAGACCCACCAUGGUCAUUUUGAGUUCAAGGUGCUAGCAUAUGGCCUAACAGGUGUACCUGCAACCUUCCAAGGAGGAAUG